AAAAAAUACGUAACAUCAUCGUAUAAUCUUGGGGAUAUGGCCUGAGAGUCUCUACCGGACACCUUAAAUGUUCGCCUACGAUGACUGGAG
rnacentral:ncRNA from 1 species